AAACACUCUUUUGCGAUCGCUUUAAGGCUCUCUUUUCCGAUCGAGGGUACUUUGCAUCCUCGCUCUCCUCUACAUCUGUAGAACAGAAGCGGCGGUCGCCGCCUUUCUCUCUCUUAUAGGUAAGCCUUGAUCCCUCUCUCUCGCCAAAUGCCCUAACUUCACUUCGAGGUCGAGAUUUUAUCACUUGGUUCUCUCUUUUUCUCGUUUGUUGAUUACUAGGGUUUCGAACCUCUGUUUUCUACACCCCUUUUGAAUUUCGAGCAAGUUUGGAGCUUGUUAGAUUAAUUUUCAGGAAAUUUAAUUUAAUUUUUUAAAAAAACUUUCUUAUCGCUUAGCUUGUGUUACUUUUGGAUCUCAAUUACACUUGCCUUAGGGUUUCGAAUUUAAUUUUCGCGAGUUCGGGAAAGUUUGAAUUUUUUUUUGGCGGGGUUAGGGUUUCAUAGGCCAGAAUAAAGGGCAAUUCGUAUUGGAAUUAGGGUUUUGUGCUGUGAAGCUUUGAGUUUCAGAUAUAUGGCCGCUGGGAGAUAUAGGGGUUGCCACGAUAAUGAAUCCAGGGAUCACGAGUCUGAUUCUGAAUUGUCAAGGGAAGAUUUUCCUUAUUCCAAGGAUAAAUUUGAUAGAAUUGAGAAUGGCAAUGGUGAAAACGACAGGGGUCGAGUUCGGGAAUUAAGGGAUAGAGCCAGGGUUAGGCAGAAGGAUAUUAGGGAGAGAGAAGUGACUAAUGGUGGGUAUAGUUCGUCUUCUGGUAGAAGUGAUUCAGGAAGCAGUGGUAGUGGUGGUGCCCAUGGUCCACGGAAGUGUGGGCUUUCAGCUAGGGCCACGGAUAGGGAGCCAGGUGAGUUGUCUAGUGAGAGUGGGUCUGAUGACGCAAUUGACUCCGAGUCACAUGCUCACGAAGAUAGUGAAGUUUUAAAAGUAGUGGAGAAUGGGACUCGGACAUCUGUGGAGAAGAAGAGGAAGUUUUCUCCUAUAGUCUGGGAUAGAGAUGACAAACCAGUGAGUAACUCAUCAAAAAGUGGGAGUUCCCCUGCAGUGACUGCUCUCCCUCCACCGCCGCCCCUGCCUAAGGCGUACCGCCAGUCACCUAGUUUUAUUCCAGAAGGAGGUGUAGGGAUAUCUCCUGUUAAAAGUAGUAAAAACCAGAAUUUGCUUUCUUCUUCACCGCUGAAGGGAUCAGUUGGCAAUUCUGCAUCUGAGUCUCCUGUAGAGUUGGCUUCAUCGCCAAUGGAGGAGCAGUGGGGCAAUGACCAGGAAGCAGAGCACAUAGAAGACGAGGAUUAUGUUCCAAUGAGGAAUAUCUCAUCUUCACGAUGGGCAGCUGGCAACAAUUCUCCUGUUGAUGAAGGUGAAAUUGUGGAAGAUCAGGAAAUUCCUAAAAGGAGGAAGAAGAUGCCUCAUUCGGAGUUUUUGGAUUCCAGAGCACGCAACAAGUUAUCAACUCCAGAUCCCGGGGAUUUUAAGAGAGAAGGUUCUGAUGUGGCUAGAGGGAGGUCGUCAGAAUCUGAUGAGCGAGGCACCUGUGCUAGGCCUUUGAGCGGGGAUGAUUAUCAUGGGAAUGAUUCUGGGAGGGAUGACUACAUGGAUAUUGAUGAGGAACACAAUAACAGUGAUUCUGAUAUAGAUCCUGAGGAUGAAGAUGAUUCUCGCGAAACACCAGAACCUGCAGGUCCACCUCAAAGAAGUGUAAACAUGCUUCAGGGGUGUAGAAGUGUUGAUGAGUUUGAGAGACUAAAUAAAAUAGAUGAGGGCACUUAUGGUGUUGUAUAUAGAGCCAGAGACAAGAAGACUGGGGAAAUUGUAGCAUUGAAGAAGGUAAAGAUGGAGAAAGAACGUGAAGGUUUUCCACUGACUUCUCUUAGGGAAAUAAACAUUCUUCUUUCUUUUCAUCAUCCUUCAGUUGUUGAUGUUAAAGAAGUUGUGGUAGGGAGUAGCCUUGAUAGCAUUUUUAUGGUGAUGGAGUACAUGGAGCAUGACCUAAAAGGACUCAUGGAGUCAAUGAGACAGCCAUUUAGUCAGAGUGAAGUUAAAUGCUUAAUGCUCCAGUUGUUGGAGGGUGUGAAGUAUCUUCAUGAUAAUUGGGUUCUUCAUCGAGAUCUGAAAACAUCAAAUCUGCUCUUGAAUAAUCGUGGUGAGUUGAAGAUCUGUGACUUUGGGCUGGCUCGUCAAUAUGGAAGCCCGUUGAAAACAUACACUCAUUUGGUGGUUACUCUGUGGUACAGGGCACCAGAAUUACUUUUGGGAGGCAAGCGAUAUUCAACGACAAUUGACAUGUGGUCCCUGGGCUGCAUAAUGGCUGAACUGUUAUCGAAGGGACCUCUGUUUAAUGGAAAGACAGAAGUAGAUCAACUUGACAAGAUUUUCCGAAUCCUUGGUACACCAAAUGAGACAAUCUGGCCUGGGUUUUCCAAGCUACCUGGAGUGAAGGUCAACUUUGUCAAGCAUCAGUAUAACCUGCUGCGUAAGAAAUUUCCAGCAACGUCCUUCACUGGAUCACCGGUGCUUUCUGAUUCUGGGUUUGAUUUGUUGAACAAACUUCUUACCUAUGACCCUGAGAAGCGAAUUACUGCUGAAGCUGCUCUUAACCAUGACUGGUUUCGUGAAGUUCCUCUUCCAAAGUCUAAAGAUUUCAUGCCUACUUUUCCUGCUCAGCAUGCUCAAGACAGGCGUCUCCGAAGAAUAAGGAAGAGUCCAGAUCCUUUAGAAGAGCAGCGGAGAAAGGAGUUGCAACAAGGGGAGUUAGAGACCGGUGGUUUGUUUGGCUGAGAGAUUAAUUGGUCAACCUUGGCCCUGGAUUGCAAUUUUUUUGUUUUGCAAGCUACUGACACAAGAUGUGGUUGAGGUGAGAGAUAUCCAUUGAAAGGAAGUAGCGAACCUUCUUUCUCAGACGAUCAUUUGUACUUUUUUUUAGCAGGCCUCUUGUGAUUUGGAUGGAGAAAAUAUUUGCCUCCUGCCGUCAACCAGUUAUGUUUCAGGCUAACUUUGUUCUCCUGCUUUGAUAACAUAUAGGAUGCGCCUGGGACACUGCUUGCAUCGCAAGUUGGUGUGAAGUCCAGGAGAUGUUCUUAGCUUUUCAUUGACAAAGAAAAGGCAAUAACAUAGAGCAUCAAAGUAUCAAAGCUAGCAGGUUGGGGAGGUUACCUGCUGUGGAUUUUAUAGAACUUUCAGUUAGAUGUCUUCAGGCUCCAUAGAGAAUAAGGAUUUUAUGGGACAUCGUGAAAAAUUACGGAGAUCUAUUUGCUUGAGAAUAGUGAUUGGAACCUCCAGUCAAUUGUCAUUUUGGCCCGCUAGUUGAAUGGUUGAUGUGGUGCUUUUCAUCUGUUAGUUUGCCCCCCCGGUCCUUAAAUUCCAUCCCUCUUCACAUUAUAUUCCUUAAGAAGUUUAUGAAACUGAUCAGUAGUCUAGCUAUUAUUCCUUAAGAAGUUUGUGAUGAAAUACCGAAUGCGUAUACUGGGUCCUGUUAUCCGGAGGAUGUACUUGUUUUUUCUCAUUUUUCAGACAUUUUUGAAGCAAAUUGCUCAUUAUAAUGCAUCUUCCAGUUCAUUGAUUUUGCAUUAUAUCGCCUGCAAAAUGAGUGUAGCUGGCAGAAUGAAUGGUUUCAAAGCGUCAUCUUUCCAAUAACUUCCAUUCUUGGCAACCUCCCCUACCUGCUUCUCCUCAAAUCUUACGAGUUUCUACUCUGUGUACGUUGCUUAAAUUCAAUCAAAAGUUUAAAUUUUGUAACUUUUAUAUUUUAAUUAUACAAUCUCUCUCCGAAAAAGUUAUUAUAAGUUAUUUUUGUUAAA